rnacentral:rRNA from 1 species
AUACGUAGGUGGCGAGCGUUGUCCGGAAUUACUGGGUGUAGAGGGCGUGUAGGCGGGGGUGCAAGUCAGAUGUGAAAGACCAUGGCUCAACUGUGGGGGUGCAUCUGAAACUGUGUCUCUUGAGUGCUGGAGAGGGAAGCGGAAUUCCUAGUGUAGCGGUGAAAUGCGUAGAUAUUAGGAGGAACACCGGUGGCGAAGGCGGCUUCCUGGACAGCAACUGACGCUGAGGCGCGAAAGCGUGGGAAGCGAACAGGAUUAGAUACCCUGGUAGUCCACGCCGUAAACGAUGGAUACUAGGUGUAGGAGGUAUCGACCCCUUCGGUGCCGCAGUAAACACAAUAAGUAUCCCACCUGGGGAGUACGGUCGCAAGACUGAA